GAGUCUCGGCGGGGAUUUUCUGGAGAGAGGGAACGGAAGGGAGGGUCUGGAGAGAGAGACUGCUGUGGAGGCUGGUGGAGCCGGUGGCUUCGCUGAGCGAAGAUGACGUGGCGCUGUCGGUGGAAUCCAAAUGCGUUGGAGAUUUUGGUGUUCGUCUUCUCCGGGAAGAAUGUUCUGAAUCGAACAGCCAUGAGAUAACCCGCAUGCUCGUUAAGUUUCUCUUUCAGUUUCUGGGUAAAGAACAAGAACUCAAAAAUCAAUGAAAAAGAAAGACAUUAGGUCUGCGUUACAGCACUGAUGAGGUUGGAAGAUAGCGCAUGAGUCAAGGAGAGAGUAGGACACUGUAACUAUGAGCCAAUUCUAUCAUCAAUAGCUAAAACUAUGAUGUUUAUGAAGAUGUAGACGCACUUUUUGAAUGUUGAAUAAUUGCGAUCAAAGGAAGUAAAUGAACGGGUGUGAGUGCAUAAGUGGGAACUUGGACGAAACAAGAGACUAAGUGUAAGAGAUUGGUCACAUCGUCGCUGGAAAGUUGCUAACUAAAAGAAAGACACAAUGAAUGGUGUCAAUGUCAGAAGGGAGCCACAUUGAAUAGCUUAACCAGAUGGAUAAAUAAUGUUUGUUUCUUUUUUGGUAAAAUAACCAGAUGGAUAAAUAAUGUUUGUUUCUUCGUAAAGAAACUAUACAAAUUGGAAAACUCAGGUCGUUAUCUUGAGUAGACUGGGAAGCAGCGAUGACAGGAGAUAGUCAGCCAAGAAUAGUGAAAGGUUGGUAGGAAGGUUCAUGCAGUCUUUCUCAUAUGUUUCCCAAGAACCUACAAUCUGCUUUGUACUAAGGAGAAAUAUCAGCUGUUUUA